GGAUGCGAUCAUACCAGCACUAAAGCACCGAAUCCCAUCAGAACUCCGAAGUUAAGCGUGCUUGGGCGAGAGUAGUACUAGGAUGGGUGACCUCCUGGGAAGUCCUCGUGUUGCAUUCC
rnacentral:rRNA from 2 species